rnacentral:rRNA from 1 species
AUGGCCGGAAGGAAGGGCGGCGACAGGAAGAAGGCGGUGACCAGGUCCGUCAAGGCCGGGCUCCAGUUCCCCGUCGGCCGCAUCGGGCGCUACCUCAAGAAGGGCCGCUACGCGCAGCGCGUCGGCUCCGGCGCCCCCGUCUACCUCGCCGCCGUCCUCGAGUACCUCGCCGCCGAGGUCUUGGAGCUCGCCGGCAACGCGGCCAAGGACAACAAGAAGACCCGCAUCAUCCCGCGCCACCUGCUGCUCGCCGUCCGCAACGACCAGGAACUCGGCAGGCUGCUCGCCGGCGUGACCAUCGCCCACGGCGGCGUGAUCCCCAACAUCAACUCCGUGCUUCUCCCCAAGAAGUCCCCCGCCACCGCAGAGAAGGAGGCCAAGUCGCCCAAGAAGAAGACCACCACCAAGUCCCCCAAGAAGAAGGUCGCUGCCAAGGAGUAG